rnacentral:rRNA from 1 species
GAUGAACGCUGGCGGCAUGCCUUACACAUGCAAGUCGAACGGCAGCACGGGGCAACCUGGUGGCGAGUGGCGAACGGGUGAGUAAUGCAUCGGAACGUACCUUUCAGUGGGGGAUAACGUAGCGAAAGUUACGCUAAUACCGCAUAUUCUGUGAGCAGGAAAGCAGGGGAUCGCAAGACCUUGCGCUGAUUGAGCGGCCGAUGUCAGAUUAGCUAGUUGGUGAGGUAAAGGCUCACCAAGGCGACGAUCUGUAGCGGGUCUGAGAGGAUGAUCCGCCACACUGGAACUGAGACACGAUCCAGACUCCUACGGGAGGCAGCAGUGGGGAAUUUUGGACAAUGGGGGCAACCCUGAUCCAGCCAUGCCGCGUGAGUGAAGAAGGCCUUCGGGUUGUAAAGCUCUUUCGGCCGGGAAGAAAUCGCACGGGCUAAUACCCUGUGUGGAUGACGGUACCGGAAUAAGAAGCACCGGCUAACUACGUGCCAGCAGCCGCGGUAAGAC